rnacentral:rRNA from 1 species
AUUGAACGCUGGCGGCAGGCCUAACACAUGCAAGUCGAGCGGAGCGGCGGACGGGUGAGUAAUGCCUAGGAAUCUGCCUGGUAGUGGGGGAUAACGUCCGGAAACGGGAGCUAAUACCGCAUACUAUCAGAUCAGCCUAGGUCGGAUUAGCUAGUUGGUGGGGUAAAGGCCUACCAAGGCGACGAUCCGUAACUGGUCUGAGAGGAUGAUCAGUCACACGGGUACUGAGACACGGUCCAGACUCCUACGGGAGGCAGCAGUGGGGAAUAUUGGACAAUGGGCGAAAGCCUGAUCCAGCCAUGCCGCGUGUGUGAAGAAGGUCUUCGGAUUGUAAAGCACUGUUGGUAGGGAAGCGGUACCUACAGAAUAAGCACCGGCUAACUACGUGCCAGCCGCCGCGGUAAUUC